rnacentral:rRNA from 1 species
GACGAACGCUGGCGGCGUGCCUAAUACAUGCAAGUCGAACGAAGCUGUUUUAACUGGUGCUUGCACCGACUUAAACAACUGAGUGGCGAACGGGUGAGUAACACGUGGGUAACCUACCCCAAAGCGGGGGAUAACAUUUGGAAACAGAUGCUAAUACCGCAUAACCACAGAAACCACAUGGUUUCUGUGUCAAAGAUGGUUUCGGCUAUCACUUUGGGAUGGACCCGCGGCGUAUUAGCUAGUUGGUAAGGUAAUGGAUUACAAAGGCAAUGAUACGUAGCCGAACUGAGAGGUUGAUCGGCCACAUUGGGACUGAGACACGGCCCAAACUCCUACGGGAGGCAGCAGUAGGGAAUCUUCCACAAUGGACGAAAGUCUGAUGGAGCAACGCCGCGUGAGUGAAGAAGGUUUUCGGAUCGUAAAACUCUGUUGUCAGAGAAGAACGUGUGCGAGAGUAACUGCUCGUGCAGUGACGGUAUCUGGCCAGAAAGCCACGGCUAACUACGUGCCAGCAGCCGCCGUAA